rnacentral:rRNA from 1 species
UGGGGAAUUUUGGACAAUGGGCGAAAGCCUGAUCCAGCAAUGCCGCGUGUGUGAAGAAGGCCUUCGGGUUGUAAAGCACUUUUGUCCGGAAAGAAAUCCUUGGCUCUAAUACAGUCGGGGGAUGACGGUACCGGAAGAAUAAGCACCGGCUAACUACGUGCCAGCAGCCGCGGUAAUACGUAGGGUGCAAGCGUUAAUCGGAAUUACUGGGCGUAAAGCGUGCGCAGGCGGUUUGCUAAGACCGAUGUGAAAUCCCCGGGCUCAACCUGGGAACUGCAUUGGUGACUGGCAGGCUAGAGUAUGGCAGAGGGGGGUAGAAUUCCACGUGUAGCAGUGAAAUGCGUAGAGAUGUGGAGGAAUACCGAUGGCGAAGGCAGCCCCCUGGGCCAAUACUGACGCUCAUGCACGAAAGCGUGGGGGGCAAACAGGAUUAGAUACCCUGGUAGUCCAGCGCCCUAAACGAUGUCAACUAGUUGUUAGGAUUCAUUUUCCUUAGUAACGUAGCUAACGCGUGAAGUUGACCGCCUGGGGAGUACGGUCGCAAGAUUAAAACUCAAAGGAAUUGACGGGGUCAUAGCUG